AGCAGUGGAUGGACGCGUUUGCUCUGCGGCCCGGAUGAUGGGUGAAGUUCAGACAGAAACACGGACGGAAAGAAGCAUUUCUGGUGUUCACCGGGUGCAUCUGUUUGUACAGAGAGAAGAGAUGGAGAGAGAGAGAGAGAGAGAGAGAGAGAGAGAGUCAGGAGAAGCUGGGGCAAAGGAGAUGUGGAGAGAGGAAGGUGUCACCUUUUAGAAAGCGAGAGCGGCGCUCUUCAUGUCGAAAAAUAGGAGUUUAGACGUUCUCAUUACGAGCAGGUUUUCUAAUAUCCUCAUAUCUAAAUAAGGCACCUCACCUCCUCUGUGUCCCACAAUGCUUUCCUGCCAUUCAUCUCACACAUGUGGAAACUGAUGUCAUCAGCUGAAACAGACAGCGGUGGACAGUAAGGAACAAACCACCGAUCAUUGAUGGGAUCAACUAAUCACCAACAUACAGUUCAGCGUCGGUUCAUCAGCAAGCAGAACAUUCUUAAAGGAAUAAAUGCUGGAAGAAACUCCUGACUCGAACUCGC